GUCGAUUUGGUACCAAUAUUGAAAUCAGUAUGUAAUCUGCACAUCAUCACUUUAUAGAGAGAGAUUGCAAGAGAAAAGGAAAAAAAUGUAUCAUCAAAAGGAUAGUUCCUUACUAGGGUUUCAUCACUUGAUUUUGAGUCAAGGACUGCUCUAUAACCAAUGUGAAUGGAAGCUCUUGAUGCCUGCUUAUCAAGAAUUUUAUCAUCCUUGUCUUGAUCUUGGAAAUACUCAGUAACACAAGCUGCAAUCAUUCUUUGGUAAGGUUCUUGAUACUUGUUAUGCACCUAUGCUCUUAUUAUUUAAGAUGCAACAUAUAAGUGCUCCUAUCUACUAUUUACCCACCUUCAAUUGAUCUUGCUAAUCCUUCAAAUUUGCGUACUGUAGAACUGUGGAGGUCUUCUCCAGACCAGUUUGGCAAUACAAAAAGACUCAUGAAUAGGCAUAUUGCACAACCUAUCGCAAUAGUACUUAAGCGAUCUCGUGCUAAAGGCACCACAUCCUCUUGACGGAAGCUUGAUACUGUUAUCA
rnacentral:lncRNA from 1 species